UACGUAGGGUGCAAGCGUUGUCCGGAAUUAUUGGGCGUAAAGAGCUCGUAGGCGGUUUGUCGCGUCUGCUGUGAAAACCCGAGGCUCAACCUCGGGCCUGCAGUGGGUACGGGCAGACUAGAGUGCGGUAGGGGAGAUUGGAAUUCCUGGUGUAGCGGUGGAAUGCGCAGAUAUCAGGAGGAACACCGAUGGCGAAGGCAGAUCUCUGGGCCGUAACUGACGCUGAGGAGCGAAACCAUGGGGAGCGAACAGG
rnacentral:rRNA from 1 species